rnacentral:lncRNA from 1 species
ACGUCAAUAUAGUUCUUCGUGGCAUUGAAUUCCCCGCACCAUGCAAUGAUAGUACUGGUCUUGUGGUCGAUGAAGUAUGUAGGGAAAUUGUAAUAUGGCGCAGAAUGUAAUAUCGGGAGGUCAGGGCCAGUAACAGUAGGGAAAUUGUAAUAUGGCGCAUAAUGUAAUAUCGGGAGGUCAGGGCCAGUAACGUUUAAAUACUUACUCCAACAAACAACCUCAUCAGUCACCUUGUUUGUAGUCCACAAUUCAAUGUUCUCACGUUUAUGCUGAUGUAGUAAAGAAAGCCUAUCUCCU